GUGUGCUAGUUUCUUGCCGCUUCAGCUCUACUAUGCCAAACAAUGAGACCUUGAAAGCUAUACACGAUCAAUCUUCCAAAAGGUCUGACAGCUCGGCAUCCACGGAACAUAAACUUCGAAUUCAGCGAGGGUAGCACGAGUAUUGUGAGAACCUACUAGAGAGCACAUCCUGCAUUCCUGCUAUAGUGAACAUGCAUUUAGAAAUAUCAAUUUAUUGGAAAUAGGCGUUGAAUUAAGCAAAAUGAUGCCUCCCUUCGUGCCCCAGACACACGGAACAUACGGAAUCGUCUCAUGAAGACAAACACAGAGGGCCCGUGCACGUACUACACGUCACCUGAAGCCUGCGCACGCCUACGUCUUAUGUUAUUUAGGUCAACAUAGGCUAUUUUCACUACGACUGACCUUACAUCAAAGGAUGAGGGAUUGUAAAAUUUAAGUUAUUGCCAGAUGCAACUUGUUAAACUAUUUAGUAACUCAACGCAGUGUCUAUUUACGUUAGAACUAUUAGGCAAAGGAACUUUUACUGGUGCAACCCAGUGCUGAGUUUACAGUCAAUCAAAUUACAAUCUUCGAUAAUACUGAUAUUAUUAGUGUUUUAUUGAAAACAAAAACAAUGGAGACGUUGUCGAAAACACUGUAAACAUUGCGAAAUUUAUUUGAUCAUAUUUAACAUUAACAUAAAAUCACUCGAUUGGGAGCAGCAUGACAAUGACGACAUUUAUUGAAAAUCAGAUGCAUGUGUCCUGUU